UAGAGUUUAAAACCCUAAUGCUGAUUGCAUGGAAAAGCUCAGUUUAGAGUUUAAAACUCUAAUGCUGGCUGAAAGGAAAAGUUCAGUUUAGGGUUUAAAACCCUAAUGCUGACUAAAGGAAAAUUCAGUUUAGGGUUUAAAACCCUAAUGCUGAUUGCAUGGAAAAGCUCAGUUUAGAGUUUAAAACUCUAAUGCUGGCUAAAAGGAAAAGUUCAGUUUAGGGUUUAAAACCCUAAUGCUGACUAAAGGAAAAUUCAGUUUAGGGUUUAAAACCCUAAUGCUGAUUGCAUGGAAAAGCUCAGUUUAGAGUUUAAAACUCUAAUGCUGGCUAAAAGGAAAAGUUCAGUUUAGGGUUUAAAACCCUAAUGCUGACUAAAAGGAAAAUUCAGUUUAGGGUUUAAAACCCUAAUGCUGAUUGCAUGGAAAAGCUCAGUUUAGAGUUUAAAACUCUAAUGCUGGCUAAAAGGAAAAAGUUCAGUUUAGGGUUUAAAACCCUAAUGCUGACUAAAGGAAAAAGUUCAGUUUAUGGUUUAAAACUCUAAUGCUGAUUGCAUGGAAAAGCUCGGUUUAGGGUUUAAAACCCUAAUUCUGGCUGAAUGGAAAAAAAUUCAGUUUAGGGUUUAAAACCCUAAUGUUGAUUGCAUGGAAAAGCUCAGUUUAGGGUUUAAAACCCUAAUGUUGGCUGAAUGGAAAAAAGUUCAGUUUAGGGUUUAAAACCCUAAUGCUGACUAAAAGAAAAUUUCAGUUUAGGGUUUAAAACCCUAAUGCUGAUUGCAUGGAAAAGCUCAGUUUAGGGUUUAAAACCCUAAUGCUGGCUGAAUGGAAAAAAGUUCAGUUUAGGGUUUAAAACCCUAAUGCUGACUAAAAGAAAAAUUCAGUUUAGGGUUUAAAACCCUAAUGCUGAUUGCAUGGAAAAGCUCAGUUUAGGGUUUAAAACCCUAAUGUUGGCUGAAUGGAAAAAAGUUCAGUUUAGGGUUUAAAACCCUAAUGUUGACUGCAUGGAAAAGCUCAGUUUAGGGUUUAAAAACCUAAUGUUGGCUGGCUGGGGACAAAGUUCGAGAAUACUAAGCGACCUCUUUUUUUUGAAUUUUCUUGUUUUAGUAGAAGAUAAAAGGGGAUUUCGUGGAAACUUACCUUUCGAGUGAAUUCCUUGUUACCAAAA
rnacentral:lncRNA from 1 species